rnacentral:sRNA from 1 species
ACUGGGCACAGUAGCAUAUGCCUAUAAUCCCAGCAACUCGGGAGGCUGAGGCAGGAGGAUCACGAGUUCAAAGCUGGCCUCAGCAACUUAGCAAGGCUCUAAGUAACUUAGUGAGACCCUGUCUCUA